GGCUGGUCCGAUGGUAGUGGGUGAUCAGAACUUACUAACAUUAGUGUCACUAAAGCUGGUGUACAACCUCCUCCUGCUAAUUUUGACUGGCUUUAA
rnacentral:Y_RNA from 1 species